UACGUAGGGGGCAAGCGUUGUCCGGAUUUAUUGGGCGUAAAGAGCGUGUAGGCGGCCUGGAAGGUCAGCUGUGAAAACUCGAGGCUCAACCUCGAGACGUCGGUUGAAACCACCUGGCUAGAGUCCGGAAGAGGAGUGUGGAAUUCCCGGUGUAGCGGUGGAAUGCGCAGAUAUCGGGAGGAACACCGAUGGCGAAGGCAGGUCACUGGGCCGCAACUGACGCUGAGGAGCGAAAGCAUGGGGAGCGAACAGG
rnacentral:rRNA from 1 species